rnacentral:rRNA from 1 species
UACAUGGGGUGCAAACGUUGCUCGGAAUUACUGGGCGUAAAGCGUGCGUAGGCGGUUGGCAAAGUCAGCUGUGAAAGCCCCGGGCUUAACCUGGGAAUGGCGGUUGAAACUAGUCGACUAGAAUCUGGCAGAGGGGGGUGGAAUUCCACGUGUAGCAGUGAAAUGCGUAGAGAUGUGGAGGAACACCUGUGGCGAAGGCGGCCCCCUGGUUGGAUACUGACGCUGAGACGCGAAAGCGUGGGGAGCAAACAGG